rnacentral:lncRNA from 10 species
ACAUGAAUCAGCCUUGAAAACAAGCACGAUGAUUAAUAUUGAGUGUCAACUUGAUUGGAUUGAAGGAUGCAAAGUAUUUGUUCCUGGGUGUGUCUGUGAGGGUGCUGACAAAGGAGAUUAACAUUUGAGUCAGUGGACUGGGAGAGGCAGACCCACCCCCAAGCUGAGUGGGCACCAUCUAAUCAGCUGCCAGCGUGGCUAAAAUAAAGUAGGCAGAAGAAAGUGGAAGGAGAGAGAUUUGCCGUGUCUUCUGCCCUUCAUCUUUCCUCCAUGUUGGAUACUCUUAAGUUCUUCAGCUUUUGGAUUCUUGGACUUACACCAGUGAUUUGCUAGGGGCUCUCGGGCUUUCAGCCAGACUGAAGGCUGCACCAUCAGCUUCCCUAUGUUAGAGGUUUUGAGACUCAGUCUGGAUUCCUUGCUCCUCAGCUUGCAGAUGCCCUAUUGUGGGAUCUCACCUUGUGAUCAUCCGAGGCUGGACUGUACUGCCGCCAUCUGGACUCACUGCAACCCCCCCUGCCUGAUUCUCCUGCCUCAGCCUGCCGAGUGCCUGGGAUUGCAAGCGCGCACCGCCACGCCUGACUGGUUUUCGUAUUUUUUUGGUGGAGACGGGGUUUCGCAGUGCUGGCCCGGCUGGUCUCCAGCUCCUGACCGCGAGUGAUCUGCCAGCCUUGGCCUCCUGAGGUGCUGGGAUUGCAGACGGAGUCUCACUCACUCAGUGCUCAGUGGUGCCCAGGCUGGAGUGCAGUGGCGUGAUCUCGGCUCGCUACAACCUCCACCUCCCAGCCGCCUGCCUUGGCCUCCCAAAGCGCCGAGAUGGCAGCCUCUGCCCGGCCACCACCCCAUCUAGGAAGUGAGGAGCGUCUCUGCCUGGCUGCCCAUUGUCUGGGAUGUGAGGAGCCCCUCUGCCCGGCCGCCCAGUCUGGGAAGUGAGGAGCGCCUCUUCCUGGCCGUCAUCCCGUCUAGGAAGUGAGGAGCGUCUCUGCCCGGCAGCCCAUCGUCUGGGAUGUGGGGAGCGCCUCUGCCCCGCCGCCCCGUCUGAGAUGUGAAGAGCGCCUCUGUCCAGCCGCGACCCCGUCUGAGAACUGAGGAGUGUCUCUGCCCCGCCGCCACGCCGUCUGGGAGGUGAGGAGCGUCUGUGACCAGCCGCCCCGUCUGAGAAGUGAGGAGCCCCUCCGCCCGGCAGCCGCCCCGUCCGGGAGGUGGGGGGGGCAGCCCCCGCCCGGCCAGCCGCCCCGUCUGGGAGGUUGGGGGGCGCCUCUGCCCGGCCACCCCGUCUGGGAGGUGUACCCAAUAGCUCAUUGAGAACGGGCCAUGAUGACAUGACGAUGGUGGUUUUGUCGAAUAGAAAAGGGGGAAAUGUGGGGAAAAGAAAGAGAGAUCAGGAUUGUUACUAUGUCUGUGUAGAAAGAAGUAGACAUAGGAGACUCCAUUUUGUUCUGUACUAAGAAAAAUUCUUCUGCCUUGGGAUGCUGUUAAUCUAUAACCUUACCCCCAACCCCGUGCUCUCUGAAACAUGUGCUGUGUCCACUAAGGGUUAAAUGGAUUAAGGGCGGUGCAAGAUGUGCUUUGUUAAACAGAUGCUUGAAGGCAGCUUGCUCGUUAAGAGUCAUCACCACUCCCUAAUCUCAAGGACCCAGGGACACAAACACUGCGGAAGGCAGCAGGGCCCUCUGCCUAGGAAAACCAGAGACCUUUGUUCACAUGUUUAUCUGCUGACCUUCCCUCCACUAUUGUCCUAUGACCCUGCCAAAUCCCCCUCUCUGAGAAACACCCAAGAAUGAUCAAUAAAUACUAAAAAAAUAAAAAAAUAAAAAUAAAAAUAAUUUCAAAAUAUUGAAAUCUUUAAAAGCUUAUUUAGAACCAUAAAAUUAAAUUAGAAAUCAAUAACAAUAAAGUAUCUAGGAAGUCUCCAAAGGCUUAAAAAUUAAACUACCCCCUUGUAAAAAAUGCACAGGUCAAAGAGGAAAUUAUAAGCAUUAAGAAAAUAUUUUAUACAGAAAAGUGAUUUUAAAACACAUAUCAAAAAUUCAGAGAUUCUGCUAAAGCACUGACUUAAGAGAGAUGUAUAGCUUCGAAACCACCUUUGCAAAAUUAUGAUAGAAAGAAAAAUCUGACAUGGCUGAUUCCAUCUCACUUCUAACCUCACAGGCUAGCUGUUUUUGCUAAUUCCUGGGCAUGGGCCAAGCUAACUUUGGGAGAAAUUUGGUUUAUAUUUUAAAUAACAAUAGCCCUUCCCUAAAACUAAACUGACCUUGUAAAACUAAUGAAAGGUCAUCAGGUUAGGAGAAUGAGAGGGGCUGGAAUUCUGCUACAAUGUAAAGUAGGUAAACAAUUACAGCCAUUUUCCCGGAGGUCACAAGAUUUGCAACUUCCCCAAUUACUCCUGCAGAUAACAUUACUAUUGUAGAACCCAAGUUUGGCUUUUUGAAGUGUCUUUUCAGGGUUUUGCACUUCUAACAACCAGAUGGCCCCAUUUGGACCUGUGACUUAACCAGUUCUGUGGCCCCACCUAGAAGCCAACUCAGCUCAUGAGGACCAUAUUUCAUACCACCAUCAUUGCAUCCCCAACCAAUUAGCAGCACCUAUAGCCUAGCCCCCUGCCCACCAAACUAUCUUUGAAGAACCCCUAACCUCCAAGCCUUCAGUGAGAUUGAUUUGAGUAAUAACUUCGUCUCUCACCUGGUGUGGCUAGUCUCAUGUUAAUUAAACUCUUUUUUUAUGG